rnacentral:rRNA from 1 species
UACGGGGGGUGCAAGCGUUGUUCGGAUUUACUGGGCGUAAAGGGCGCGUAGGUGGCGUAACAAGUCACUUGUGAAAUCUCCGGGCUUAACUCGGAACGGGCAGCUGAUACUGCUUUGCUAGAGUGCAGAAGGGGCCAUCGGAAUUCUUGGUGUAGCGGUGAAAUGCGUAGAUAUCAAGAGGAACACCUGAGGUGAAGACGGGUUGCUGGGCUGACACUGACGCUGAGGCGCGAAAGCUAGGGUAGCAAACGGG